GAUGAACGCUGGCGGCGUGCCUAAUACAUGCAAGUCGAGCGAACAGACGAGGAGCUUGCUCCUCUUACGUUAGCGGCGGACGGGUGAGUAACACGUGGAUAACCUACCUAUAAGACUGGGAUAACUUCGUGAAACCGGAUCUAAUACCGGAUAAUAUAUUGAACCGCAUGGUUCAAUAUUGAAAGACGGUUUUGCUGUCACUUUUAGAUGGAUCCGCGCCGCAUUAGCUAGUUGGUAAGGUAACGGCUUACCAAGGCGACUAUUCGUAGCCGACCUGAGAGGAUGAUCGGCCAAACUGGAACUAAGACACGGUCCAGACUACUACGGGAGGAAGCAGUAGGGAAUCUUCCGCAAUGGGCGAAAGCCUGACGGAGCAACGCCGCGUGAGUGAUGAAGGUCUACGGAUCGUAAAACUCUGUUAUUAGGGAAGAACAAAUGUGUAAGUAACUAUGCACGUCUUGACGGUACCUAAUCAGAAAGCCACGGCUAACUACGUG
rnacentral:rRNA from 1 species